ACUACAUUUUAAAAAUUAACUAUUAAGCGUGUGAGGUAAUAUUAUGCUUGAAGACUAGCUACAACCGUUAUGGUAGCCUUUUAUAACAAUAAAAAGCAACAAAUUUGAAUUCUGCGGUGAAAUUUAUCUUCAAUUAGCCGUAUUUUAAACUAACAUAUUUUCUUGAGAAUUGCCUUAGAAAAAAGUUAAUAAGUAUUUGUGUUAACAUUUGAAAAAGAAAUGAAUAAUAAAUAUUAAUUUAUUUUAAAUAUAUUUACAAAUAUGAUACAAACGCAAGGCUAUCAGUGUACCAAUCCUUUAUUUGGAGCAGAUACGCUAUUAAUGAUGAUUUGGUGCAGACAACAUCCAAAAAACAAGUGACCAUGCAUUGAACUGCAAUCUACAUUUCUACAUAAUUUCCUAUUUAUUUAAUUCAAACAAUAAAUAUACUAAAAAGUGGAUUUGUCUCUUUA